rnacentral:rRNA from 1 species
GACGAACGCUGGCGGCGUGCUUAACACAUGCAAGUCGAGCGGAAAUGCCACUUCGGCGGUAGUCGAGCGGCGAACGGGUGAGUAACACGUGAGUAAUCUGCCCCUGGCUUUGGGAUAGCAACCGGAAACGGUGAUUUAUACCGGAUACGACCACUUCUCGCAUGGGAUGGUGGUGGAAAGCUAGUUCGGCCAGGGAUGUACUCGCGGACUGUCAGCGUGAUGGUGAGGUAAUGGCUCGCCAUGGCUUCGACGGGUAGCCGGCCUGAGGGGGUGGCCGGUCACACUGGGACUGAGACACGGCCCAGACUCCUACGGGAGGCAGCAGUGGGGAAUAUUGGACAAUGGGCGGAAGCCUUAUCCAGCAACGCCGCGUGAGGGAUGACGGCCUUCGGGUUGUAAACCUCUUUCAGCAGGGACGAAGCGCAAGUGACGGUACCUGCAGAAGAAGCACCGGCCAACUACGUGCCAGCCGCCGCGGUAA